rnacentral:rRNA from 1 species
CAGCCGCCGCGGUAAAACGGAGGGUGCAAGCGUUAAUCGGAUUUACUGGGCGUAAAGCGUGCGUAGGCGGCUUCUUAAGUCGGAUGUGAAAUCCCUGAGCUUAACUUAGGAAUUGCAUUCGAUACUGGGAAGCUAGAGUAUGGGAGAGGAUGGUAGAAUUCCAGGUGUAGCGGUGAAAUGCGUAGAGAUCGGGAGGAACAUCAGUGGCGAAGGCGGCCAUCUGGGACAACACUGACGCUGAGGCACGAAAGCGUGGGGAGCAAACAGGAUUAGAUACCCCUGUAGUCCCUGUCUCUUAUAC